UUAGAAUCUCUCUCUUUAUUCUCUCUCCGUAGAAAUUGAUACUAUGGUGGCCAUGGAUUUCGAAUCGGAAGCAAGGUAUUGACAAUGAAGAUGAUGACAACAACGAGCUUCAGCUAGUGACGACGACGACGAGCUUCUCUCCUGCUCCUCCUCCUCUAUCAACUUCCAGAUCCUUACUCCUAUUUUCUUCAUCUCACCUCAAACCCACCACUCGUCUUCUCUUACAUGGUCGCUCUACACUCUCCUGCUCAGCCGCCAGCAACAACGGACAUCCUCCCUCCGACGACUCUGUUCCUAAGCAAGUACCCUUUUGUCUUAGAUCGAAGAUGAAGUCCGUUCUAGAGCUUUGUUGUAUUGCAAGAUGGUAACUUUAAUUGGAUUUUAAUUGAAACUUUAGAUGUCUAGGAUUGGUUUCUAUUCUCUAAUGAGAUUACAAUUGGUUUCAGUGGCAGUAGUAGUCGAAAACUCAAAACCGGGUAAGAAACGUAAAGAUAAGACAUUUAUCAAUUCCAUCACAAGAAGCAGACAAGCUUGGAACAGAGUUGCAUCACAGAUUGGAGGAACCACAAUUCGAGUGGCCAAGGAAACUGAUUCGAAAAUGGCUAUUAAUUCUGAUCAACAGAAGAAGAAUCUAAGGUAAGCUUUUGCGACUCUGUGCUAUACCACAGGACGUUCUCGUGGCUUCGGUUUCAUCAUCCUUGUGUUGCAGAAAGAGUCACUAUGGCUGCAGCACAUAAAUGUGUGUCGGUUGGGUUUCUUUUGCUUGAGCAUAGAGCAAGUCAUCUGAGUUAUACGCAGGAGAAGACUAAUAGAACGUCAGGUUUCUGUAGUUGUUUCUUGUUCUUGUUAUGUUCUUGUAACUUCAAAGAAUCUUAUGGUUGGAAGGUAAGUUUUCAAAAAGGAUAAUAAAAGUUGCAACGUUUGAAGUUUCAUAUACUCGGUGUUUCUGGUUUGAUUUGGGUAUCUUGGACAGCAAGUAACAUCAGCUGAACAAGGAU